AAAAAGGAGUCAGGGUCGAUUUCAAGUCCAAAGGGGCAGAAAGCAGAAUUACAGUGAGUAAAUGUUUCCAAACCGAGCUCCUGGGCUGAAAUAAACUGAUCACUGUCAAUGGUCAUUAUGUUAUCUAUAGAUUUCUAUCGAUAAUCACAAUCAACCCAAAACCAGAACAAAAGAAAAAGCCAGUUUUAUCCUCAUUCAUAUUUAUUCAGUUCUUCUAUGUCUUUGAUAACUAAUACCUUAGCUUCCUCAGGUUACUUUACAGUUCAUAACCCAUGUAUUCUGUAUUUUAUUUUGUUUCCGUAAAUAUCUGGCUUUCUUGGCAAUAUCAGCAUUCCUUUUUAUUAAAUGGUCGUUCAGAUA